rnacentral:rRNA from 1 species
AGGAGCUUGCUCCUGGGUGAGAGUGGCGAACGGGUGAGUAAUGCGUGACCGACCUGCCCCAUACACUCAGGGAUAGCCUUUCGAAAGAAAGAUUAAUACCUGAUGGUAUGAUGAGAUUGCAUGAUAGCAUCAUUAAAGAUUUAUUGGUGUACGAUGGGGAUGCGUUCCAUUAGGUAGUAGGCGGGGUAACGGCCCACCUAGCCGACGAUGGAUAGGGGUUCUGAGAGGAAGGUCCCCACAUUGGAACUGAGACACGGUCCAAACUCC